rnacentral:rRNA from 1 species
UACGUAGGGGGCAAGCGUUGUCCGGAAUUAUUGGGCGUAAAGCGCGUGUAGGCGGUCCGAUAAGUCGGUUGUGAAAGUCCAGGGCUCAACCCUGGGAUGCCGACCGAUACUGUCGGACUAGAGUUCGGAAGAGGCGAGUGGAAUUCCCGGUGUAGCGGUGAAAUGCGCAGAUAUCGGGAAGAACACCCGGUGGCGAAGGCGGUUCUC